GAUGAACGCUGGCGGCGUGCCUAAUACAUGCAAGUCGAGCGAACAGACGAGGAGCUUGCUCCUUUUAGGUUAGCGGCGGACGGGUGAGUAACACGUGGAUAACCUACCUAUAAGACUGGGAUAACUUCGGGAAACCGGAGCUAAUACCGGAUAACAUGUUGAACCGCAUGGUUCAACAGUGAAAGACGGUCUUGCUGUCACUUAUAGAUGGAUCCGCGCCGCAUUAGCUAGUUGGUAAGGUAACCGCUUACCAAGGCAACGAUGCCUAGCAGACCUGAGCGGGUGAUCGGCCACUCUGGACCUGAGACACGGUCCAGACUCCUACGGGGGGCAGCAGUAGGGACUCUUCCGCAAUGGGCGAAAGCCUGACGGAGCAACGCCGCGUGAGUGAAGAAGGUCUUCGGAUCGUAAAAGUCUGUUAUUAGGGAAGACAAAAUGUGUAAGUAACUAUGCACGUCUUGACGGUACCUAAUCAGAAAGCCACGGCUAACUACGUG
rnacentral:rRNA from 1 species